rnacentral:lncRNA from 1 species
AAAACCCGAUUUUUUUUCAUCUUUAUCAUUUUCUGAUCAUAUAAACAUUCAAAUUCAAAUUUCAAAUAAAAAAAUUCAUGUUGUUUUGGAAACAAUAUCAAUUUACGUUCAAUUUCAUUCACUGCAUAUCUUAUCUUAUUUUGACUGUUUUGAAUAUUUAUAUGAAUCCCAAAAAAUCAGGAAUUCCAAUUUACUCAUAUAUUAACUCCGUUUAUAUUCUGCAUUCUUGUCUUCAACAUCCAUUCUCAUCUUCAGUAUUACGAUUUCUGCAUCUGCAUUCUGCACGUUGUUGACAUAACAAAUCUGGUGAGUUCAUCAUCAUAACUGAAAAUAUAAAACCAUUUUGUGAAAAUAUAUUAAAACCAAUGCAGCUAUGUUUGCUAUUUUUUUUUAAAUUAAAUGAUUAUUCGCAAUUUGUGUUUUCAUAUUAUUUGAUGUUCUUUGAAGUUUGAUCUUCAUGUUUUUGUUCGACAUAAAAUGUUCCCAGGGGUAUUAUAGUCUUUAAUUUACUUUUUUGUUUUUAGUUUUCUUAUAUAUGUUAUUUGAUUUUGAAAGUUCCAGCACUAAAUACCACUCUUGUGUUGGACAUUAAAUCGUCCCAGGGGUAUUUUAGUCUUUAAUUUACUUUUUUGUUUUUAGUUUUGUUAUAUAUGCUAUUUGAUUUUGAAAGUUCCAGCACUAAAUAUCACUCUUGUCCUUUUAUUUUUCUUAAAAUUGAAACAUAUUUGUUUUUUUUUUUUUUUUUUUAUUUUUUUUUUCAUAUAAUAGCAUCCUACUUUUGGGUGACAUUUUGAAGGUUCUGUUUGACAGAAAAUGGUCCCAGGGGUAUUUUAGUCUUUAAAUUACUUAUUAUACUUUAUAUGUGUUAUAUCAAGUAAACUAUCCCCUGAAAAUAUCUAAAAGAAAAUUCCAGCACUAAAUACCACUCUUUUGUUGGACAUUGAAUCGUCCCAGGGGCAUUUUUGUCUUUAAUUUACUUUUUUGUUUUUAUUUUGAAAGUUCCAACACUAAAUAUCACUCCUGUCCUUUUAUUUUUCUUAAAAUUGAAACAUAUUUGUUUUUUUUUUUUUUUUUUAUUUUUUUUCAUAUAAUAGCAUCCUACUUUUGGGUGACAUUUUGAAGGUUCUGUUUGAUUUUUUUUUUGGUUCUCGGUGUUUAUGGCUUUCAGUUUUUAUGUAAUUGAUUUUUUUUAAUUUCGUUGUUCAUCUCUAUAUAUCAAGUAAACUUAUUAUAUUUUAUAUAUGUUAUAUAUUAUUAUAUAUAACAUACCGAACAAACAGAAAAUCUUUCAGUUUAGUUUGGUGAUUUUAUGUUAUUUUUAAGUUAUUUUUAUUUUAUUAUUAUUAUUAUUAUUAUUAUUUUUUGCAUAUAAUAGCAUCCUACUUUUUUAUUUUGUUUUUUUAGUUUUGUUAUAUAUGUUAUUUGUUGUGUUGGACAGAAAAUCAUCUAAAGGGUAUUUUAGUUUUUAAUUUACUUUUUUGUUUUCUGUUUUGGCUCUCAGUUUUUAUAUAAGUGAUUGUUUUUUUUUUAAUUUUGUUGUUUAUAUAUCAAAUAAACUUAUUAUUCGUUAUAUAUGCUAUUUAUUGUGUUGGACAUAAAAUCGUCCCAGGGGUAUUUUACUCUAUAAUUGACUUAUUUGUUUUCUUCUUUGGCUCUCAGUGUUUACAUAACUAAUUUUUUGUUGAAUUUUGUUGUUCAUAUUUAUAUAUCAAAUAAACUUAUUAUAUUCUUAUAUAUGAUAUUUGUUGUGUUUGUCAGAAAAUUGUCUUAGGGGUAUAUUAGUCUUUAAUUAAGUUUUUAGUUUUUUCUUUUGGCUGUCAGUUUUUAUAUAACUGGUUUUUUUUCAUGUUUAUAUAAAAACUAAGCUUAUUAUAUAUUACAUAUACUAUUACUAAAUUUUUAGGGGAUAAAGUAAAUACAAGUUGUAAAAUUUAUUGUCAUUUCAUUGACUUUUCAAAUUACUUUUACAGAUAUGGCUACUUCAAAGAUUACAUUCAUAAAAGACAUUAACCCAGUCAAUUCGGAUUUCACUAUCAAAGUCAAAGUAUUGAAGUUAUGGACGCUCAAUUCUAAAUUUAAUGAGAACGAAAAGUACUCCAUCGAAAUGAUUUUAUUGGAUGAAUAGGUAUAUUCUUAUUGUUUUCCAAAAAAUAUAUUGCAUUUUACCGUUCAUUUUUUAUAAAUAUCUUACAUGAUUACAAUUUGAUAAUGUUGUCUUCUUUAAUGUUUAGGGAUCUCUAAUUCAAGCUAAUGUUUUCCAAAACUUAUUUUAUAAGUUUGAAAAAAGUCUUCGUGAGGGAUCCGUUUAUGAAUUUACCACCCUAUCUGUUGCAAAACACAAUCCACAUCCCAAAUCUAUCAUCUUUUCUCAUCUUCCAAAUAAAAUAACCUUCAUAAGGGAAACAGAACUUAAGGAAAGUCUUAAUUUUCCGAAUUAUAUUUAUUAAAUGUUUUUGUAUAUUUAUUAAUUUUUUUUUACUAUAUAAAAUUUCUAACUUAUAUCCCGUGGUUUCCACGGGUUUUAACCUAGUAACUACAAAAUAAAGAUAUGCAAAAUUAAAUCACAAUAGCUAAUAAAUAAUAAAACAUAUUUUGAUAAAAUGAUAUAGUGUGUAACUUUGGAGAGGGCCACGACUUGAUAUUCAUGCACAUAAUUCCCAAAAUCUAAGGACAAACAAAAAUGGAUGAGUCAAUAGAUACAAUUCUAGAAAAAAAAUGUUUAGGAAUGAAAAUAUACAUAGUAGUUCCAGGAAAAUAUACAUUCUUGAUUACAAUACAAUCAAGCAACAAAAUAAUUGACAUCACGUUCAGAACAAGAAAAAAAUAUAUUCUUUUUUGAAAAUUAAGUUGAAUCGAUGUAUGUCCUUCCCAACAAAUUUUUGAUAUCAUUUUUCGAAAUUUGGUCCUAAUUUUCCAUAAAAAAUACCUAAACACAAAAAAUAAAAAAAUAAUCCAUUCUUAUUAGGGUAGAUAAAUUAAUAUUCAAAUCAGCAAAGAAAUUAGAACGCAUAACCAAUUUAAAAUUUGUAAACAUUGAGCUGAAAUAAACAAAAUAAUCCAAUUAUCAUAAAGAAACUUAUCACAUUUAAAGAGAGGAUAAAAGAUACGACGGGGGAAAGAAGAGAAACAAACGAAGAAAGACAUUUACCUAAGGUAGAGGCGUCAUCAGGAGGUGACGUCGGCGAUGGGAAACAAAGAUGUGUAGGGAUGGUCGGAGAGACUUCAUGUGCCGAUUGGUAAGGAUUUCGAGUGAGGGGAAGGAUUACUCGAUUGGUUGGCGCAUGAUGAAGGUGGAGUCUAACUUAGCCUCCCUCAAUUUAGAAAGACGAUGAGAAAUUGCUGGUCAUCGGUGACGCACCAGUGCCGAUGAGUGGGACUGGCGCCGAAAAACGGAGGAGGGGAGGAAGAAUCACUCCAGGUUUAAGCGGCUAGGGUUCAGGAUGGGUAUAUGAACGACAUGAGAGAGAGAGAGUAGAUAUA